UGAGCAGACCUUGGGCUUGUGCUGUGAGU
rnacentral:piRNA from 1 species